rnacentral:rRNA from 1 species
CCUACGGGCGGCAGCAGUGAGGAAUAUUGGUCAAUGGGCGGGAGCCUGAACCAGCCACGCCGCGUGAGGGAAGAAGGUACAGCGUAUCGUAAACCUCUUUUGUCAGGGAACACAGGCGGGGACUCGUCCCCGGAUGAGGGUACCUGAAGAAAAACCAUCGGCUAACUCCGUGCCAGCAGCCGCGGUAAUACGGGGGAUGCGAGCGUUAUCCGGAUUUAUUGGGGUUAAAGGGUGCGUAGGCGGUCCGUUAGGUCAGCGGUAAACUGGCGGGGCUAAACCCCGUCGCGCCGUUGAAACUGGCAGACUUGAGUUGGCGAGAAGUACGCGGAAUGCGCGGUGUAGCGGUGAAAUGCAUAGAUAUCGGGCAGAACUCCGAUGGCGAAGGCAGCGUACCGGCGCCAGACUGACGCUGAGGCACGAAAGCGUGGGGAUCGAACAGGAUUAGAUACCCCAGUAGUC